AGUGAACGCUGGCGGUAGGCCUAACACAUGCAAGUCGAACGGCAGCACAGUAAGAGCUUGCUCUUACGGGUGGCGAGUGGCGGACGGGUGAGGAAUACAUCGGAAUCUACUUUUUCGUGGGGGAUAACGUAGGGAAACUUACGCUAAUACCGCAUACUACCUACGGGUGAAAGCAGGGGAUCUUCGGACCUUGCGCGAUUGAAUGAGCCGAUGUCGGAUUAGCUAGUUGGCGGGGUAAAGGCCCACCAAGGCGACGAUCCGUAGCUGGUCUGAGAGGAUGAUCAGCCACACUGGAACUGAGACACGGUCCAGACUCCUACGGGAGGCAGCAGUGGGGAAUAUUGGACAAUGGGCGCAAGCCUGAUCCAGCCACACCGCGUGGGUGAAGAAGGCCUUCGGGUUGUAAAGCCCUUUUGUUGGGAAAGAAAAGCAGCAGGUUAAUACCCCGCUGUUCUGACGGUACCCAAAGAAUAAGCACCGGCUAACUUCGUG
rnacentral:rRNA from 1 species